UAUGGUUGUGUGCCAGCAGCCGCGGUAAUACGGACGGUCCGGGCGUUAUCCGGAUUUAUUGGGUUUAAAGGGAGCGUAGGCCGGAGAUUAAGCGUGUUGUGAAAUGUAGAUGCUCAACAUCUGCACUGCAGCGCGAACUGGUUUCCUUGAGUACGCACAAAGUGGGCGGAAUUCGUGGUGUAGCGGUGAAAUGCUUAGAUAUCACGAAGAACUCCGAUUGCGAAGGCAGCUCACUGGAGCGCAACUGACGCUGAAGCUCGAAAGUGCGGGUAUCGAACAGG
rnacentral:rRNA from 1 species